rnacentral:rRNA from 1 species
UACGGGGGGAGCAAGCGUUGUUCGGAUUUACUGGGCGUAAAGGGCGCGUAGGCGGUCGUGACAAGUCACUUGUGAAAUCUCCGGGCUUAACUCGGAACGGUCAAGUGAUACUGUCGGACUAGAGUACAGAAGGGGCAACUGGAAUUCUCGGUGUAGCGGUGAAAUGCGUAGAUAUCGGGAGGAACACCAGUGGCGAAGGCGAGUCUCUGGGAUGAUGCUGACGCUGAGGCGCGAAAGCCAGGGGAGCAAACGGG